ACCCACCGGAGCGCGCGGCAAGGCGCGUGGGGGGGGUUGAGGGCCGGGCCGGGCCAGUGAAGCCGGCGGUGCGCUGAACCCCUGGUCCUGCCCAAGCCGGUCACUGGCGGUUGUAAACAGGCCCCAGGUGUUUAGCGCCCGCCUGGCCCCGCUGCACGCUGGGAGCUCAGCCCGGCCCGUAACCUUCUCCUAACGGGUCCAUCGUAAUUGAAACCCUUGGAGGAGAAACAGUGGAGAGUCCCUUGAUGGAUGUCAGGACAGAAGAAGCGGACCAGGAACCCUCUGGAUGGUGAUGUUCUCCAGGUGCAGGACAGGAAAUUUCUACUCCUGACAACUGGUGUUGGAAUCAGGUGCAACCAUGGAUGAAAACAGUCUAAUUGCAAGUGUGGAUAGAAUGAACAUAGUUUGAAGAUCUGUCUGAUGCAAGUUAAUAUGCAGGAAAUGUUACUCACUAUUUGGGUCUAUAAAAAGGAGAGUUUCAAAAGUUGUUGCAAAGUCUCUAGGAUUUCCAUUGCAAGACUUUAAAAAUCAGCUGAGUACAAGAAGGAUGUGCCUGCCUAGCUGCCUCUAUUUGGAACCCUCACUUUACGUCAGAAGAUAGAGAGUCAGGAGCUGAUCUCAAGAAUUUGACCACCAGUGGGAUUGGAGUUGCCAGUCACCAACAGAACAAAAUUUCCAAGGGGAGCGGAGAAGGAAAAAAAGGCAGCAAGGUACCAUGUCCAGUAGAAAAAGGACCAGGUGGCAUAUCUGGGAGAGGACAGGGACCAGGGAAUAUGUACAAGGAAGCAAAGGUAGGAGUAUGGGACAGAGAGAGAGGGAGGACUAAGACUCCAGAGUACCCUCCCCCCCCUUUUUUUUUUGUUACCUUGUCAGGAAUGAAUUCAUUUGUUGAAGACAGAGAAGCAGUACCUUCAUUUUCAAAUCUUCACUUAUCUGAGCAGCCACCUGAAGAUUCUGCUCAAACAUCUAAAAUGAGAAAUAGCUUAGUUAUAAAGAUAGACCAAUAGCUGGAAUAGCGACACAAACAUGGCAGGAUUCCCUACAAAAUGCUAUUUGGAGAGUUAAACUGGUGUGAGAUCCCCCACAUUUUUUUAAAUUAAAUCCAUACACUCUCUCCUACUAAUCCACAGAAUAGCAACUGCCAUGAAUUUAAUAGGUAACUUCUUGCCAGGCAUCCACAUAUGUCCGAUUUUUAAAAAAUGGUACUGAGAGGCAGUCAGAUAUUUUUCAUGUAAGGAAGCAUCACUCUGGAUUCCCCCCAUCUCCAAAUCAGUGCUGAUUUGCUCUUCACGGUGGACCAAUGUCUUUAAGUCAGCUCCUGCAGCAUUUCUACCUAUUCCUACAUAUGCAAGAGAUAACUUGGCAUCAGAAGAAUGCUCACAAUUGGGCACAAGAUGAAGGUGCUCUAAAAUUGUGGGGGAUGAAUGGGAAGGGAAUGGGAGAAGACAUACAGAUGAAGCAAAGAAGGGAAAUAAAUGAGAACGUGAGAGGAUAUAC